rnacentral:rRNA from 1 species
GAACGGUAACAGGAAGAAGCUUGCUUCUUUGCUGACGAGUGGCGGACGGGUGAGUAAUGUCUGGGAAACUGCCUGAUGGAGGGGGAUAACUACUGGAAACGGUAGCUAAUACCGCAUAACGUCGCAAGACCAAAGAGGGGGACCUUCGGGCCUCUUGCCAUCGGAUGUGCCCAGAUGGGAUUAGCUAGUAGGUGGGGUAACGGCUCACCUAGGCGACGAUCCCUAGCUGGUCUGAGAGGAUGACCAGCCACACUGGAACUGAGACACGGUCCAGACUCCUACGGGAGGCAGCAGUGGGGAAUAUUGCACAAUGGGCGCAAGCCUGAUGCAGCCAUGCCGCGUGUAUGAAGAAGGCCUUCGGGUUGUAAAGUACUUUCAGCGGGGAGGAAGGGAGUAAAGUUAAUACCUUUGCUCAUUGACGUUACCCGCAGAAGAAGCACCGGCUAACUCCGUGCCAGCAGCCGCGGUAAUACGGAGGGUGCAAGCGUUAAUCGGAAUUACUGGGCGUAAAGCGCACGCAGGCGGUUUGUUAAGUCAGAUGUGAAAUCCCCGGGCUCAACCUGGGAACUGCAUCUGAUACUGGCAAGCUUGAGUCUCGUAGAGGGGGGUAGAAUUCCAGGUGUAGCGGUGAAAUGCGUAGAGAUCUGGAGGAAUACCGGUGGCGAAGGCG